rnacentral:rRNA from 1 species
AUGCAACCGCAGCAGGACGCCGCCGAGGACGUGGUCAUUGUCGGCGCCGGCCUCGCCGGUGUCGACGUCGCCCUGGGACUCCACAGGAAGGGCGUGCGGAGCGUGGUGCUGGAGUCGUCGCCGGCGCUUCGGACGUCCGGCUUCGCGUUCAUGACAUGGACCAACGCCUUCCGCGCGCUUGACGCCCUCGGCGUCGGCGACAAGAUGAGGAGCCACCACCUGCAGGUUCAGGGGAUCGUCUCCAUCGACGACGACAAAGAAGGCGGUGGCGAUGCCAAGAUCCUCCAUCUCGCCGACGGUUCGAUGCUCCGAGCAAAGGUGCUGAUCGGUUGCGACGGGAUCAACUCAGUGGUGGCCAAAUGGCUGGGGCUCGCCAAGCCGCUGGACUCGGGGCGUAGAGCCACGCGGGGGCACGUCAAGUACCCCAAUGGCCACGGCUUCCAGCCCAAGUUCAUGCAGUUCAGCGGCAACGGCUUCCGUGCCGGCCUGGUGCCCUGCGGCGACACGGACGUGUACUGGUUCCUGACGUGGUCACCUUCCUGUCCGGACGGGAAGGAGGACGUUGACCAUAGCCCGGCGGAGAUGAAGCAGUUCGUCCUGGCCAAGCUGCGGAGCAUCAAGGCACCUGACGAGGUGCUGGAAGCGGUCGAGAGGAGCGAGAUGAACGACGUCCUCGUGGCGCCCCUGAGGUACCGCCCGCCGCUGUCGCUCCUCUUCGGGAGCAUCAGCAAGGGGAACGUGUGCGUCGCCGGCGACGCGCUCCACCCCACGACGCCGGACCUGGCACAGGGCGCGUGCAUCGCGCUGGAGGAUGCCGUCGUCCUCGCGCGGUGCCUCGGCGACGCCAUGGCCCGCGAUGGCGACGGCACUGAGACGAUCGAGGCGGCUCUGCGCCGGUACGCCGGGAUCCGGCGGUGGAGGAGCGCGCAGGUGAUCGCGGCGUCCUACAUGGUGGGGCGUGUGCAGCAGAGCGAGCACGCCGUGGUGAGAUUUGCGCGGGACAGGCUGCUGUCAGGGGUGCUCGCCAAGGGGCUCCUCAUGACGCCGGACUACGACUGUGGCACACUUUGA